GAAGGACCAGAGUGCAGGAGAACAGUGGAUGGUGGCAUGACAGGCAGAAGCAGAGAAUGGUGGGAGCGGAGCGGAGGAUCAUGCUGCUGGUCUGAGCUGAAGUGAAGUCAGUAGCAGCAGAGUAGACUAGAGAGGCUAGAGAAGAGUGUGCGUUUCACAAGAUACACUGCUCCAAAAAAAUAAAGGCAAGCCUUCCAGCCAAAAGUCUCCAUGGAGCCAUAGCCUAAAGCUGGCCAUCCACCUUUGAUGUCACCGGAAUGAAAAAGACUGCUACAUCAUCCAUCAUGAUCUGUCCAUUCACACGAAUACUUGGCUCAGCUGUUCAUGUGUUAUAUAUGGAAAGAGUGGGGUGAAACAGGAUGUCUGGAUAUUAUUACUUGAUCAGCUGACUCACUCCAGUCUCUUCAAUAUCCAAGAACUGGCAGUCAUGCUACGGAACUACUCAAUGGCUUUCUCUGGUAUUGUAUGUAGAGAUGAGGGAAUUAUUGAAAAAUUAGAUUCGGCCGAUUCACCGAAUUUUCCUGAAAAAAUUUGUUUCGAUCUGAAUAAAUUUGCGGCAAAUUGAUGAGCAUGAAGCUGGCGGUCCGCCGCAAGGCGAGCUACCACCUGUUCCAGACCCUGCCUCUCAGCGCCUCUUGCCCCCGACUGUGAAACUGUGUAUGAAACUGUGAAUGUUUAAUUUAAUCAGUUAUGGUUCAUUUUUAUCGCUCCAACCUGUUUCUUUGGAUUCUUGUGGUAAUUCCAGAGGUAAUAUAUGACGACGAC